GACAGAGGGUGCAAACGUUGUUCGGAAUUACUGGGCGUAAAGCGCGUGUAGGCGGUUCGUAAAGUCGGAUGUGAAAGCCCUGGGCUUAACCCAGGAAGUGCAUUCGAAACUCACGAACUUGAGUCCCGGAGAGGAAGGCGGAAUUCUCGGUGUAGAGGUGAAAUUCGUAGAUAUCGAGAGGAACAUCUGUGGCGAAGGCGGCUCACUGGCCCGGUACUGACGCUGAGGUGCGAAAGCGUGGGGAGCAAACAGG
rnacentral:rRNA from 1 species